UACAGAGGGUGCAAGCGUUGUCCGGAAUCAUUGGGCGUAAAGAGCGUGUGGGCGGCCCUUUAAGUCCUGCGUGAAAUCCUGCGGCUCAACCGCAGACGGUCGUGGGAAACUGGAGGGCUAGAGUGCGGGAGAGGAGAGUGGAAUUCCCGGUGUAGCGGUGAAAUGCGCAGAUAUCAGGAGGAACACCGAUGGCGAAGGCAGGUCUCUGGGCCACUACUGACGCUGAGAAGCGAAAGCGUGGGGAGCGAACAGG
rnacentral:rRNA from 1 species